rnacentral:snoRNA from 1 species
CCUGUUACUGCACCUAGCCAGUUCUCUGUUGGCUGAUGCAAUCCAGUGGUAAGCUGAUGGUAAACCCCAGUUUUUAGGAAAACAGGGUUAUUGUUCAUGUGGAUGAUUCUGUUUCAAAAGCAUAGGAAUAGCC